rnacentral:rRNA from 1 species
CACGUAGGGCGCGAGCGUUAUCCGGAAUUAUUGGGCGUAAAGAGCUCGUAGGCGGCCUGUUGCGUCCGCUGUGAAAGCCCGGGGCUUAACCCCGGGUCGGCAGUGGAUACGGGCAGGCUAGAGGUAGGUAGGGGAGAAUGGAAUUCCCGGUGUAGCGGUGAAAUGCGCAGAUAUCGGGAGGAACACCGGUGGCGAAGGCGGUUCUCUGGGCAGUAACUGACGCUGAGGAGCGAAAGCGUGGGGAGCGAACAGG